GAUGAAGAACGUAGCGAAAUGCGAUAAGUAAUGUGAAUUGCAGAAUUCCGUGAAUCAUCGAAUCUUUGUACGCACAUUGCGCCCGCUAGUAUUCUGGCGGGCAUGCCUGUUCGAGCGUCAUUUCAACCAUCAAGCCCUGCUUGUGUUGGGGUCCUGCGGCUGCCCGCAGGCCCUGAAAACCAGUGGCGGGCUCGCUAGUCACACCGAGCGCAGUAGCACAUCUCGCUCAGGGCGUGCGGCGGGUUCUUGCCGUAAAACACCCCCUUUUUACCAAGGUUGACCUCGGAUCAGGUAGGAAUACCCGCUGAACUUAAGCAUAUCAAUAAGCGGAGGA
rnacentral:misc_RNA from 1 species